rnacentral:rRNA from 1 species
GAUGAACGCUAGCUACAGGCUUAACACAUGCAAGUCGAGGGGUAGCAGGGUAGCAAUACCGCUGACGACCGGCGCACGGGUGAGUAACACGUAUCCAACCUUCCCAUAACUCGGGGAUAGCCUUUCGAAAGAAAGAUUAAUACCCGAUAGUACUUUUUCAAGGCAUCUUGAGAAAGUUAAAGAUUUAUUGGUUAUGGAUGGGGAUGCGUUCCAUUAGAUAGUUGGUGAGGUAACGGCGCACCAAGUCUGCGAUGGGUAGGGGUUCUGAGAGGAAGGUCCCCCACAUUGGUACUGAGACACGGACCAAACUCCUACGGGAGGCAGCAGUGAGGAAUAUUGGUCAAUGGGCGAGAGCCUGAACCAGCCAAGUAGCGUGAAGGAUGAAGGUCCUAUGGAUUGUAAACUUCUUUUAUAGUAGAAUAAAGUGACCUACGUGUAGGUUUUUGUAUGUAUACUAUGAAUAAGGAUCGGCUAACUCCGUGCCAGCCGCCGCAGUAA